rnacentral:lncRNA from 1 species
UGAUACAACAUGAGUGUGUCACGAUCCAGCCUACGGAUUCUGUUAAAGUAAUACCAAUUAUUCGGUUAUCUCUAAUUGUUAUUGGUGAUUUACAUUAGUGGUCAAUUAAUUAUCUCAAUAAUUGUUAAAAUCAAUUAUUAUCUCCACACGCUAAACCUUAAACCUAAAACCCAACCAAAAUUCUAAACAUUAGACAAUAUACCAAUAUGAUAAACUAAACACGCUAUUCUUAAACCAUAAACCCAAACCCAUAGGAUAAACCUAAACCCAAGUGAUAAACUUUAAACCAAAAGGAUAAGCCCUAAACCCAAAAUUCAAAAGAUGACCCUAAACCUAAAAAAUAAACCUUAAAUCCAAACCCAUAUAAUAAACACUAAACCCAAUGGAUAAACACUAAAUCCUAAACCCGAAGAUAAAUCCUACUCCAAGAGGUGAACCUUAAUCUUAUAUCCAAAAGAUAAACCUAAAUCCAAACCAUAUGUUAAACACUAAAUCGAAA